rnacentral:rRNA from 1 species
UACAGAGGUCCCGAGCGUUGUUCGGAUUCACUGGGCGUAAAGGGUGCGUAGGUGGUGAGGUAAGUCGGAUGUGAAAUCUCCGGGCUUAACCCGGAAACUGCAUUGGAAACUACCUUGCUGGAGGGUUUGAGGGGGGGACUGGAAUUCUCGGUGUAGCAGUGAAAUGCGUAGAUAUCGGGAGGAACACCGGUGGCGAAGGCGGCGAUCUGGGUCGAUACUGACGCUGAGGUGCGAAAGCGUGGGGAGCAAACAGG